UUGCUUCAGCAGCACCUAUACUAAAAUUGCAACGAUACAGAGGAGAUUCGCAUGGCUCCUGAGCCAAGGACGACACACAAAUUCAUGAGGCAUUCCAUAUUUUA